rnacentral:rRNA from 1 species
CUUAAACACCUUCAUGUUUUGCAUAUUCGUACUCUUGGGUGUACUUGUCCGUGUGGUUGGUUAACAUCAAUUUUGGUGGUCAUAAAAUGACUGGGGGAAUGUAGCUUCGAUCUUGUAUUGAAGUGUUAUAGCCUUCGGUAGAUGUGAUGAUCGAGAUUGAGGAUUGCAACGGAUACCCUUCGGGGCUACCUGUCUGGUCUCUGAUCGUUGCUCUGGUGCCGAAAGCUUGCUUACGGUUAUCAAAGUCGAUGGUCAAUAGGUUAGAACGGGUUAAA